UUAGAACGUCGUGAGACAGUUCGGUCCCUAUCUGCCGUGGGCGCUGGAGAACUGAGGGGGGCUGCUCCUAGUACGAGAGGACCGGAGUGGACGCAUCACUGGUGUUCGGGUUGUCAUGCCAAUGGCACUGCCCGGUAGCUAAAUGCGGAAGAGAUAAGUGCUGAAAGCAUCUAAGCACGAAACUUGCCCCGAGAUGAGUUCUCCCUGAGACUUUAAGUCUCCUGAAGGAACGUUGAAGACGACGACGUUGAUAGGCCGGGUGUGUAAGCGCAGCGAUGCGUUGAGCUAACCGGUACUAAUGAACCGUGAGGCUUAACCUUACAACGCCGAAG
rnacentral:rRNA from 1 species